rnacentral:rRNA from 1 species
UGGGGAAUAUUGCACAAUGGGCGCAAGCCUGAUGCAGCGACGCCGCGUGAGGGAUGACGGCCUUCGGGUUGUAAACCUCUUUCAAUAGGGACGAAGCGCAAGUGACGGUACCUAUAGAAGAAGGACCGGCCAACUACGUGCCAGCAGCCGCGGUAAUACGUAGGGUCCGAGCGUUGUCCGGAAUUACUGGGCGUAAAGAGCUCGUAGGUGGUUUGUCGCGUUGUUCGUGAAAACUCACAGCUUAACUGUGGGCGUGCGGGCGAUACGGGCAGACUAGAGUACUGCAGGGGAGACUGGAAUUCCUGGUGUAGCGGUGGAAUGCGCAGAUAUCAGGAGGAACACCGGUGGCGAAGGCGGGUCUCUGGGCAGUAACUGACGCUGAGGAGCGAAAGCGUGGGGAGCGAACAGGAUUAGAUACCCUGGUAGUCCACGCCGUAAACGGUGGGUACUAGGUGUGGGUUUCCUUCCUUGGGAUCCGUGCCGUAGCUAACGCAUUAAGUACCCCGCCUGGGGAGUACGGCCGCAAGGCUAAACUUAAAUGAAUUGACGGGGUCAUAGCUGUUUUCCU